ensembl:lncRNA
CAUAUAUUAUGUGUAUAUGUAUAUUUUCGUGUCUGUGUUAUGUGUACACCCACAAAGAUACCUCUCAUUUACAUCGAUACAAGAAGAUAUAUAUCUGGAAUUUAUUUAGUCUCUUCAUGUACACGGACAUAAAAGCAGGAAAGCCAUUUUUCCUCUUCCCUCCCCCCUUUCUUUGUCGUCGUUGGGCUUACUGGAAUUUUGUCUGCCAGGAACAGCGGGAGCAGCGUCCUGGCCAUUGUUAGGUUGAUGCUUCCUUCAUGCUUGGUGACUCGCCUUCUCCAUCUGGAGCGGCGCCUCUUGCUCCGGCCAUCUUUUCUCACCCGCCCCUAAAAAGGGUCUCCAAAGCCUCCCGAGUGCGCUUGGAGAGGACCCCCCAUGCCCACCCGCAGGGUCUCCAGAGCGUCACCAACAGAACCCGAGUUCUGGGCGUCUGGAUCGGGCUGGGAAGCGGCCCGGUAGAAGUAGCCAAUGGAAGUCUGUGGCAACCAUUCUCAGAGCAUCACCAUCACCAGCUCUGGACCAGGACUUCCAACCUCAUGAGCAGCUGCUUGCUACAGGUUAGCAGGAGUUUUCCUUCCCAAAGCAAUCCAUCAUGUGCCAGAUCUCUCACCAAGGAAACCACAGUCCUGGGUUUGCAGCAUCUGGGGAUGCUGUCAUGGAAAAGAGACCCUGCAUUGAUAGCAGCAGCUCUGAAACCCAAGCCAGAGAGUCUCUCAAAACAAACCCCAGAUGGUUCUUGGAUAAAGCAAAAGGAGCAAGGAUAGAAGCCCUUCAGCUCCUCUAGCUGGACUUCCCAAGUCUGUCGUGCAUUAUUCUCCAUCACACACUCCAUUGAUGACCCAAUCAAGCUGGCCUUCUUGCUCUUCUCCAUGGAGGAUCCUCAUCUUUGCCUUCCUCCCUUCGAAUAGGCUGUCUCCCCAUACCUGGAAUCCAUUCCCACCUCUUUUCUACCUUGUAGAAUUCCUAGCUUCCUGAGCUGUCCUGCUAUACCUGGAAUCCAUUUCUAACUCCUCUCCAUCUUGUAGAAUUCCUAGCUUCCCACCAGCCUUAGCUCAAGUGCCAACUCCUAGAGCCUUCUAUAUCCCCCCAUUUCUAAUCCUACCUCCAAAUCGCUUUGUGUAUGUGCUCUCUGUAGAGCACCUCCAUUUACGUGGUAUCUAACCCCAUCCUCACCCCAGCAGCAUAGAAGCUGCUUGAGGGCAGGGGCAAGGUCUCNNNNNNNNNNNNNNNNNNNNNNNNNNNNNNNNAUAAUUGAAUAGUGAUUGUAAUUCCAAGAGCUAGCAUAUUGAGCAUAUUACUCUCCCAUGUCAAGCCUAAUUGGUCAUCAAUCCACAGGUUUCUGCACCUUCUGUUCAAAACAGAGCCAUGAGAAUGGGGGAAGAAGUAGUCGAGAAUAUAAGGUUGCUGUGUUGCCUGGAAUCACACUAUGAAAAGAGGUUUAAUCAACAAUUUUCAAACAUCCAGUGACCUUCAUAAAAUGUGUCCUAGGUGGACAGUUUGAAAUGUACCCUCAAAUCAAGUUGUAAUGGAAAUUCCAUUUGGGGUGGCCCCAGAACAACAGCCCUCCUUGGACCAAGGCAUCUAAAACCAUGCAACUGCUGCUGGGGGCAAAGAGGAGAAUGGUAGAGACGGGAGAAAGAAGCCAGACCAGAACAGACAGGGCAGGUGCUACCUGGGAAUGGUCCCUGGGUGAAGGAAGGAUAGAGGGAAAGCAUUUUCAUCUUUUAGCUAAUUAUUCUUGCUAAAUAAAUACGAAGCUCGGUUGAUCCUGAAGUUUUCC